UUUUUUUAUAUGCUGGGGAAAAUCACAGGUUUUGAUUCUGGAUUGAGAGUGUUAGAACCGGCCCAAUCUGAUUUAGGUCAGAAACGGGCCAUGUGCAGCUCUACUUGUAUGUGCAUCCUAUGGCCGGAGGAAAGCUAACGUGUGACGGCCGCCCAAGUCCCAGUGCUUCUGUGAUCGGCCGUCGCCUGGUUGAGUUAGUUGCAUUUUGCUAAAGAUGCUAAUCGGUGUGACCAAAAUGUGCAGUUCUCCACUUCGUUUUCAUCAUUUUGUCCUGCAGUUUCCUUUAGUUCGCUCAAUUUCUUCACUUGAACAAACCCUUAAAGCUAAAGUAGAAGCCAAGGCCUAUCAAGAAAUUCCCGACCUUUUUGAAUCUUACAGAGGUGAAUAUUUCGAAAAUCCUAAUCCUUUCUCCUUCCUCUCCACCUUCUCUUUGAAUCUCAGAACACAAGUAGUUGAUGAAAUUUUACAAUCUUUUAUCCCUUUGAGACCCCAUUUUCGCCCCCAACUUGUUUAUUCCUGUCUCCUUUCUUACACCCUUCAAAGUCCUAGUCCUCUCCCUCUUGCUCUAGCCAUCCUCCAGCGAACUUUUCGUUCUGGGUGUUCACCUGUGCCCCAAACACGUCUUCUUCUAUCCUCUGCUUGGUUGGAUCGAAGAAGGCAAUCUCAUACUGUAGCUAAUAUUCUAGAGGAGAUGGAGUCUAUUGGGUAUCGUGCAGACUCUGGUAUUUGUAACUAUCUUGUGUCUUCUCUUUGUGCUGUUGAUCAGUUGCAGGAAGCAGUGAAGGUUCUGAAGGGUAUGGGCAGAGCAGGAUGUGUUCCUGAUUUGGAAGGUUAUGGCUUUGUUAUUGGCUCAAUGUGCACAGCCAGAAGAACUGCUGAUGCGGUAGAGAUGUUGAAGGAAAUGGUGGUCAAAAUUGGGUUGAACCCAAGGCAUGGAACCGUGGUGAAAAUAGCGGCGGCAUUGCGGGCAAAUAGAGAGAUAUGGACAGCUGUUGAAAUGAUUGAGUUCAUGGAGAGGGAAGGUUGCCAUGUCGGAUUUGAGAGCUAUGAGCUGGUGCUUGAGGGGUGUUUGGAGUGCAAAGAGUAUCUUUUGGCUGGAAAAGUGGCGAUGAGAAUGACAGAGAAACGGUUUAUACCUUAUAUCAAGGUCAGGCAAAAGGUGGUAGAGAAGCUUGCUGGUGUCGGUGAAUGGAAGCUUGCUUGUGCUGUAAGGCAAAGAUUCACAGAAUUGAGUUCAUAGUUUCCUCCAUUUUUUAUGGGAGUGCAUUGUGAAGUCUGCUGGUGAGAAGCAAAUAAAUUCACACAUGUAAUGACUGAUAUGUGGCCAAGAGGGUGUUGGAUUUGAAAUCCGUGGUGCCUGUUGAAAGUUGGAACAAGACUACAAGCGUACAGAGCACGUGAUGUGCUCCAAUAUUAGGGAAUGAAUGCGAAAGAUACUGUUGAAGAUUGCACACUGGAAGUGAGUAGUGGAAAGAAGUGAAGGAACUGUUGCGAAAAGAAAUCUUGCAUGCUUCUUUAUUACAAUUGAGCUUAUCCAGCUGAAAAGGCAAUGUUAUAUCAGCCAUUUUUGUCAGAUUACAGGUUUCAAAUAAUGAUGCAGAACUUCGAAGAUGCUGAUAAAGUUGGCAGAUAAGAUAAUUGAGGAAUAUCUGCUAGAAAUUUAAGGUAAGGUGCUCAUGGAGCUACAAAAUGUCUAGCCUAAUCAAUGUAAUGAAGGUAAUGAUCAUCCCCCAUGGAAAGAAUUAAUUUAUUUUAGUAUUGCAUCUUAAACAGUUUGUUGAUGAAAUGUUGAUCUUGGAGAAUAUCAUUAUCAUUAUGUCAAAGGUUUUAUCGAAUUAAAUUAAUUCAGUUUUUUACUAAGAUUUCAAAUAAA